rnacentral:rRNA from 1 species
GACGAACGCUGGCGGCGUGCUUAACACAUGCAAGUCGAACGGUAAGGCCCCAGCUUGCUGGGGUACACGAGUGGCGAACGGGUGAGUAACACGUGGGUGACCUGCCCCGCACUUCGGGACAAGCUUGGGAAACUGGGUCUAAUACCGGAUAGGACCGCACCGUGAGGGUGUGGUGGAAAGUUUUUCGGUGUGGGAUGGGCCCGCGGCCUAUCAGCUUGUUGGUGGGGUAAUGGCAUACCAAGGCGGCGACGGGUAGCCGGCCUGAGAGGGUGGACGGCCACAUUGGGACUGAGACACGGCCCAGACUCCUACGGGAGGCAGCAGUGGGGAAUAUUGCACAAUGGGCGGAAGCCUGAUGCAGCGACGCCGCGUGGGGGAUGACGGCCUUCGGGUUGUAAACUCCUUUCACCAUCGACGAAGGUUUUCUGACGGUAGAUGGAGAAGAAGCACCGGCUAACUACGUGCCAGCCGCCGCGGUAACAC